AUGCUGGAGGUAUCAGAAGUGCGAAUGCUGACAUAAGUAACGAUAAAGCGGGUGAAAAGCCCGCUCGCCGGAAGACCAAGGGUUCCUGUCCAACGUUAAUCGGGGCAGGGUGAGUCGACCCCUAAGGCGAGGCCGAAAGGCGUAGUCGAUGGGAAACAGGUUAAUAUUCCUGUACUUGGUGUUACUGCGAAGGGGGGACGGAGAAGGCUAUGUUGGCCGGGCGACGGUUGUCCCGGUUUAAGCGUGUAGGCUGGUUUUCCAGGCAAAUCCGGAAAAUCAAGGCUGAGGCGUGAUGACGAGGCACUACGGUGCUGAAGCAACAAAUGCCCUGCUUCCAGGAAAAGCCUCUAAGCAUCAGGUAACAUCAAAUCGUACCCCAAACCGACACAGGUGGUCAGGUAGAGAAUACCAAGGCGCUUGAGAGAACUCGGGUGAAGGAACUAGGCAAAAUGGUGCCGUAACUUCGGGAGAAGGCACGCUGAUAUGUAGGUGAAGUCCCUCGCGGAUGGAGCUGAAAUCAGUCGAAGAUACCAGCUGGCUGCAACUGUUUAUUAAAAACACAGCACUGUGCAAACACGAAAGUGGACGUAUACGGUGUGACGCCUGCCCGGUGCCGGAAGGUUAAUUGAUGGGGUCAGCGCAAGCGAAGCUCUUGAUCGAAGCCCCGGUAAACGGCGGCCGUAACUAUAACGGUCCUAAGGUAGCGAAAUUCCUUGUCGGGUAAGUUCCGACCUGCACGAAUGGCGUAAUGAUGGCCAGGCUGUCUCCACCCGAGACUCAGUGAAAUUGAACUCGCUGUGAAGAUGCAGUGUACCCGCGGCAAGACGGAAAGACCCCGUGAACCUUUACUAUAGCUUGACACUGAACAUUGAGCCUUGAUGUGUAGGAUAGGUGGGAGGCUUUGAAGUGUGGACGCCAGUCUGCAUGGAGCCGACCUUGAAAUACCACCCUUUAAUGUUUGAUGUUCUAACGUUGACCCGUGAUCCGGGUUGCGGACAGUGUCUGGUGGGUAGUUUGACUGGGGCGGUCUCCUCCUAAAGAGUAACGGAGGAGCACGAAGGUUGGCUAAUCCUGGUCGGACAUCAGGAGGUUAGUGCAAUGGCAUAAGCCAGCUUGACUGCGAGCGUGACGGCGCGAGCAGGUGCGAAAGCAGGUCAUAGUGAUCCGGUGGUUCUGAAUGGAAGGGCCAUCGCUCAACGGAUAAAAGGUACUCCGGGGAUAACAGGCUGAUACCGCCCAAGAGUUCAUAUCGACGGCGGUGUUUGGCACCUCGAUGUCGGCUCAUCACAUCCUGGGGCUGAAGUAGGUCCCAAGGGUAUGGCUGUUCGCCAUUUAAAGUGGUACGCGAGCUGGGUUUAGAACGUCGUGAGACAGUUCGGUCCCUAUCUGCCGUGGGCGCUGGAGAACUGAGGGGGGCUGCUCCUAGUACGAGAGGACCGGAGUGGACGCAUCACUGGUGUUCGGGUUGUCAUGCCAAUGGCACUGCCCGGUAGCUAAAUGCGGAAGAGAUAAGUGCUGAAAGCAUCUAAGCACGAAACUUGCCCCGAGAUGAGUUCUCCCUGACUCCUUGAGAGUCCUGAAGGAACGUUGAAGACGACGACGUUGAUAGGCCGGGUGUGUAAGCGCAGCGAUGCGUUGAGCUAACCGGUACUAAUGAACCGUGAGGCUUAACCUUACAACGCCGAAGCUGUU
rnacentral:rRNA from 1 species